rnacentral:rRNA from 1 species
UACGGAGGGUGCGAGCGUUAUUCGGAAUCACUGGGCGUAAAGGGCGCGUAGGCGGCCUGGUAAGUCAGGGGUGAAAUCCCACGGCUCAACCGUGGAAUUGCCUUUGAAACUGCUGGGCUUGGAUCCUGGAGAGGGUGGCGGAAUUCCUGGUGUAGGAGUGAAAUCCGUAGAUAUCGGGAGGAACACCAGUAGCGAAGGCGGCCAUCUGGCUGAUAACUGACGCUGAGGUGCGAGAGCGUGGGGAGCAAACAGG